rnacentral:ncRNA from 1 species
CUACGGACUUGAUUGUAUUGAGCCUUGGUAUGGAAACCUGCUAAGUGGUAACUUCCAAAUUCAGAGCAACCCUGGAAUUAAAAAAGGGCAAUCCUGAGCCAAAUCCGUGUUUUGAGAAAACAAGGGGUUCUCGAACUAGAAUACAAAGGAAAAGGAUAGGUGCAGAGACUCAAUGGAAGCUGUUCUAACAAAUCGAGUUAAUUACGUUGUGUUGUUAGUGGAAUUCCUUCUAAUUCUAAAUUAGAGAAAGAGGG